rnacentral:rRNA from 1 species
GGCGAACGGGUGAGUAAUGCAUCGGAACGUGCCCAGUCGUGGGGGAUAACGCAGCGAAAGCUGUGCUAAUACCGCAUACGAUCUACGGAUGAAAGCGGGGGAUCGCAAGACCUCGCGCGAUUGGAGCGGCCGAUAUCAGAUUAGGUUGUUGGUGGGGUAAAAGCCCACCAAGCCGACGAUCUGUAGCUGGUCUGAGAGGACGACCAGCCACACUGGAACUGAGACACGGUCCAGACUCCUACGGGAGGCAGCAGUGGGGAAUUUUGGACAAUGGGCGCAAGCCUGAUCCAGCAAUGCCGCGUGCAGGAUGAAGGCCUUCGGGUUGUAAACUGCUUUUGUACGGAACGAAACGGUCUACUCUAAUACAGUGGGCUAAUGACGGUACCGUAAGAAUAAGCACCGGCUAACUACGUGCCAGCAGCCGCGGUAAUACGUAGGGUGCGAGCGUUAAUCGGAAUUACUGGGCGUAAAGCGUGCGCAGGCGGUUAUAUAAGACAGAUGUGAAAUCCCCGGGCUCAACCUGGGACCUGCAUUUGUGACUGUAUAGCUAGAGUGCGGCAGAGGGGGAUGGAAUUCCGCGUGUAGCAGUGAAAUGCGUAGAUAUGCGGAGGAACACCGAUGGCGAAGGCAAUCCC